CGUUGGCUUGCCUAGCAAGUGAAAUGUUAGGCGCCAUCACGGUCCCGAAGGUGGGAAUUUCGGUUCGUGACAACAACUAUCAGUAAAUGUAUAAGGACCACAAAUCUGGAAAUUCACUUUUGGAGUGCUAAGAAGAAAAGGGAAGAUAUGCAUUGGGACAACUUGUAACUUGAGGCAUCAGUUGGUUCAAGUUUUACAUGAUUCUUCAACAGGUGGGCACUCAGGGCAGUUAGAAAAGUAAGGAGGAAUAUGUAGCUUAUCUUGGGUUAUUACAACCCCUUUCUAUACCUGAUCAAGUUUGGAGACAUAUCUCGGUGGAUUUUAUUGAAGGAUUGCUUAAAUCCAAAGUUGAUGUGGCUAAUAAGUUCUGGAAACGAGUUCAUACAUUGCUUGGCACUCCUGAGUCGAUAGUCUCUGAUAGAGAUUGAAUCUUUCUCAGUAACUUUUGGCAGGCUCUUUUCAAGUUAAAAGGUAAUCAAUUGCUGUAUAGUUCAUCCUAUCACCCUCAAACUGACGGUCAAACAGAGAAGUUAAAUAGAUGCAUUGAGAACUAUCUAAGAUGCAUGACUAGCCACAAACCGACACAAUGGAAGGACUAGUUAUACCUUGCAGAAUGGUGGUAUAACACAAACUUCCAUACCAUUAUUCAGUGAAGCCCUUUCAAAGCAUUAUAUGGUUAUUGUCCUCCUCAAAUCUCAAUGGGGUGACUCUUAGACACUACUGUGCCAGCAGCUGAAGAUAUAGUUAUGCAGGGGCAACAAAUGCAGCAACUACUGAAGGAUAAUCUCCUUAAGGCUUAAGAAAGGAUGAAAUUGUUUGUUGAUCAUAAAAGGAUAGAAACAGGAUUCCAACCUGGUGAUAUGGUAUACUUAAAGCUUCAACCUUAUAGACAAACCUCAUUAGCUCUCAGGAAGAACCUGAAGCUAAGUUCCAAAUACUAUGGGUCAUAUCAGGUGCUUGACAAGAUUGGCCAAGUUACUUAUAAGUUGUUACUCCUUCAUACCUCCAAGGUUCAGCCAGUGUUCCACGUAUAAUUGUUGAAUAAAAAGAUAGACACCAAGGCUGUGGUGCAAACUACCUUACCUAUGACUAGUAAUGAAGGGUAAUUCUUAGUCAAACCAGUCGCAAUUUUAUAGAGACAGCUCACCAGAAAGGGCAAUGUGGUUGCUGUGAAGGUGCUUAUUCAAUGGUCUAAUCUUCCACCUGAGGAUGCGACUUGGGAGGAUUAUGAUUUCAUUAAGGCUAAGUUUCCUAAUUUUGUUUCUAAUCCUUAAGGAGAAGGAUUAUUUUAAGGGGAAGGAUAUGUUAUGAUCCAGAAGUUAUUAACUAAAUAAGUUUAGCUAACGGAGUUCGAUCUUGAAUUAGCAUGGUAGGUUUAACUAAUCACAUAAUCGAGGGCUCAGAUAAUUAGUUACUUAUUGAAACUCAAGGGACUAGAUUCUACCAGCCUAGAUGGCGAGGAGUUUGUUAUUUAACUAACAAACUCUGCAUAGAGGAGCAAUGACUACACGGUCUAGAGUUCAGUCAUGGAGAUUUACUAUUUCAUUUAGUUUUUCAACUCUCUUCUCCUUAGCUUGUAGUUUAGUUCUUCUUUUAUUUCAAUAUAACAGAAAAUUGUCCUAAAAUUGUCCCAAUUUUUUUUCGCAUUUAUUCAUUUCCUUAUUAAUUUGGUUAGACUGUGAUACAAAACGGUGUCACCUGACACCACUUUGAAAACUCCUGACAUUGAUUAUUUUAUUUUACUCAUAAAAUUACAUCGAAAUAGCCAAUUAACUGAAUGCACAAACUAUGGUCUAUAACCAUUCGGGUCCAACAUACAAAACAUGCAGAUAUAUCUUUAUGUAGAACUUCACAUCGAUUCUAUAUUUCAAGCAUUAAUUGUGCAUCAGAUUUAGAACUUUGUAAUAUAAAGCAAUAGAACAAAUCAGCAAACCUAUCAA